rnacentral:rRNA from 1 species
GAUAAACGCUAGCGGCAGGCUUAACUCAUGCAAGUCGAGGGGCAGCAUAGAUUGUAGCAAUACAAUUGGUGGCGACCGGCGCACGGGUGCGUAACGCGUAUGCAACCUACCUGUCACAGGGGGAUAAUCCGGAGAAAUCUGGUCUAAUACCCCAUAACAUAUGGAUCGGCAUCGGUUCAUGUUGAAAUUUUCGGAGGUGACGGAUGGGCAUGCAUAGCAUUAGCUUGUUGGUGAGGUAACGGCUCACCAAGGCGACGAUGCUUAGGGGGACUGAGAGGUUUUCCCCCCACACUGGUACUGAGACACGGACCAGACCCCUACGGGAGGCAGCAGUGAGGAAUAUUGGUCAAUGGGCGCAAGCCUGAACCAGCCAUGCCGCGUGCAGGAUGACGGCUCUAUGAGUUGUAAACUGCUUUUGUACGAGGGUAAAGUGGGUUACGUGUAACCUUUUGAAAGUAUCGUACGAAUAAGGAUCGGCUAACUCUGUGCCAGCCGCCGCAGUAA